AGUAGUGUAGACCAAUGGUAUUCAGAACACUAGCCUUGUAAGCCUGGGGUCCCGGGUUCAAUUCCCGGUGGUGCUC
rnacentral:tRNA from 1 species